rnacentral:misc_RNA from 1 species
UCCGGUUUGUCAUUGGCAGUCCCAUUAGAGUGCUCAACUGAAUGUAGCAACUAAUGGCAAGGGUUGCGCUCGUUGCGGGACUUAACCCAACAUCUCACGACACGAGCUGACGACAGCCAUGCAGCACCUGUGUCCAGGUUCCUUUUCGGGCACCCCUCCAUCUCUGUGGGCUCUCGGACAUGUCAAGGGUAGGUAAGGUUUUUCGCGUUGCAUCGAAUUAAUCCACAUAAUCCACCGCUUGUGCGGGUCCCCGUCAAUUCCUUUGAGUUUUAACCUUGCGGCCGUACUCCCCAGGCGGUCGACUUCACGCGUUAGCUUCGUUACUGAGAGUGUCAAACCCCCAACAACCAGUCGACAUCGUUUAGGGCGUGGACUAC